rnacentral:rRNA from 1 species
GACGAACGCUGGCGGCGUGCUUAACACAUGCAAGUCGAGCGGAAAGGCCACUUCGGUGGUACUCGAGCGGCGAACGGGUGAGUAACACGUGAGUAAUCUGCCCCUGGCUUUGGGAUAGCCACCGGAAACGGUGAUUAAUACCGGAUAUGACCACUUCACGCAUGUGUUGUGGUGGAAAGUUUUUCGGCCAGGGAUGUGCUCGCGGCCUAUCAGCUUGAUGGUGAGGUAAUGGCCCACCAUGGCUUCGACGGGUAGCCGGCCUGAGAGGGUGACCGGUCACACUGGGACUGAGACACGGCCCAGACUCCUACGGGAGGCAGCAGUGGGGAAUAUUGGACAAUGGGCGGAAGCCUGAUCCAGCAACGCCGCGUGAGGGAUGACGGCCUUCGGGUUGUAAACCUCUUUCAGUACCGACGAAGCGCAAGUGACGGUAGGCACAGAAGAAGCACCGGCCAACUACGUGCCAGCCGCCGCGGUAAGAC